CCCUUAGAUGUUCUGGGCCGCACGCGUGCUACACUGAGUGGAUCAGCGGGUCAGGUUGCGCGAAAGUGUUUCCUAAUCUUUAAUCCGCUCGUGAUGGGGAUUGACGGUUGCAAUUUUCCGUCAUGAACGAGGAAUACCUUGUAAGCGCGGGUCAUCAUCCCGCGCUGAAUACGUCCCUGCCCUUUGUACACACCGCCCGUCGCUCCUACCGAUUGAGUGGUCCGGUGAGGCUUUGGGAUCUAAGCGAAAAGAGCGUUUCGCUCCUUUUGCUGGGAGAACUCAGUCGAACCUUAUCAUUUAGAGGAAGGAGAAGUCGUAACA
rnacentral:rRNA from 1 species